AUUGAACGCUGGCGGCAGGCCUAACACAUGCAAGUCGAACGAGUGGCGGACGGGUGAGUAAUGUCUGGGAAACUGCCCGAUGGCGGGGGAUAACUACUGGAAACGGUAGCUAAUAACGCAUACAAUCAGAUGUGCCCAGAGGGGAUUAGCUAGUUGGGGGGGGAACGGCUCACCAAGGCGACGAUCCCUAGCUGGUCUGAGAGGAUGACCAGCCAAACUGGAACUGAGACACGGCCCAGAAUCCGACGGGAGGCAGCAGUGGGUAAUAUUGCACAAUGGGCGCAAGCCUGAUGCAGCCAGGCCGCGUGUAUGAAGAAGGCCUUCGGGUUGUAAAGUACUUUCAGCGGGGAGGCGUUACUCGCAGAAGAAGCACCGGCUAACUCCGUGCCAGCAGCCGCGGUAAUAC
rnacentral:rRNA from 1 species